GGAAAAAGAGGGACGUUGUGGGGAAAAGAAAUAUGACUCGGAUUACACUAAAGGAUAUGAGUGGGAACUUUUAGAGAAUGGUGACGUGUGCACAAGGUCCCAAAGGGAACACACGGUUUUCUCUGAAUGUUUGUCAGUGUGCUUCAGCCAGCAUGGAAACACCAAACCCUUGCCACUGCUUCUUGAGCAGCUUUGGCCUCUGUCUCUUAGUUUCUGGUUUAGAGCAGCAAUUUUCAAAUUGUGUGCCAAGGCACCCUGGGAUUGUGGCCACAUCACUCCAGUCUCUGCCUCAAGGAGCUCACGGUUGGAUGAGUGAGAUGGACAGACUCUCCCUGUUGACUCCUCCUUGCUGGCUUUCAUGAAGUAAGCCACCAUAUGGAGAGACUCACAUGGCAAGAGACUGAGGAUGGUCUCCAGCCAACAUCCAGGAAGGAGCUGAG